CCAGAUUGCUAAACGACCGCUGGCAUAUCGCGAAAGCGGUAUGAAAAGAGGAAAGUCCGGGCAGCAUAGAGCAACGACAGUCGCUAACGGCGACCGGGGGUAACCCUAGGGAAAGUGCCACAGAAACGAUACCGCCUCUUCGGAGGUAAGGGUGAAAUGAGUGCGGUAAGAGCGCACAGCAACGUAUGGUGACAUGCGAAGGAGGUAAACCCUGUCGGCUGCAAGGAGGUCGGGUCAUUGGCUGCUCGCCAACCGGCCGUUAUAACCCGCUAGAGACUACUGGUAACAGUAGCCGUAGAUAGAUGGUCGUUCACGACAGAACCCGGCUUAUCGGUGGUCUGGCACC
rnacentral:RNase_P_RNA from 1 species